UUCUAAAAAAUCAUUAAAGAUGGCGGUAUUUUAGUCUAUUCAGAGGAAUCUGCCCUGUAAUUGAUAAUCCACGAUUUAAAUUACUUGAGGUUUUAGCUUAUAUAUCGCUGUGGUUUGAAUAUUUUUACUAAAAUUUAAUAUUCAAUAUUUCUAAUGAAGGGAUAUCAAGUCAAGAUAUAGCCUAUACUUAAGGAGAGGUGGAUUACAUUAAUGGUAUUGUUGGUUAAGGUGUUGAAAAAUUCCUUAUAAAAUGGAUUUGAAGGUAAUUUUUUAUUAAAAUUUAAAACGUGAUUAAAGCUCUAAAAUAUGUACAUAUCGCCCGUCGCUUUCAUUAUAAGGUGGAAUAAGUCGUAACAUAGUAGGUGUACUGGAAAGUGUCUCUAGAAGACCAAAUUAAAGCUUUUCAGAAGCGUUUUAUUUACACUAAAGAGAUUAUUUUAAUAGAUGUAGUUUGAAUGAUUAUUUGUCUAUUAAAUUUAAUAAGGAAUUUUUGUUUAUAAAAAUGUUUUGAUUUUUAGUAUAUAGUCAGAAAAAAUGCUUUUUGAGAUAGCGAAUUAGUAUUGUAAAAGAAAAUUUAUUUUAUUGGAAAAGAAGAAUUCAGUUUUGUACCUGGGUUAUCAGGGUUUAUUAAAUAGGGAUUAUUAUAUUAAUUUUCUCGAAUUUGAAAGAGCUAUUUGAUUAGAAUUAUUUAUUGUGGCAAUAAUAUUAUGAAUAAUCAAAAUAGAGGUGAAAUGCUAAUCGUUUUCAAAUAUAUCUAGUUUAUUAAGAAAUAAAUUUAAUUUAGUAUAGCUUUAGUACUAUUUUUACUAUUAAAAUAGUACUAGGCUAUUGAUAGAAUUUAAGGGUUGAGCUUUAAAUUCUAUUAAUAGAGCAAUUUUAAUUGGAUUAUUAAAUGAUUAGGAUUUAGAGUUUCUUUAUGAAUGAGUUAUAUCUCGGUUAAUUAUUAGAUACGAUUUUCUAUAUUUGCUUAUAUUUUUUAUUAAUAUUUAGCUUUUAACAAUUAAAAUUUAGUAAAAAUGAUAAAAUUAGUAUAAUUAGGUUUAAUUUGUAAAAAAUUUUAUAGGUUUUGUUAAGGAAUUCGGCAAUGCUAUUUCCCACCUGUUUAUUAAAAACAUGUCUUUUUGAGUAUAAUUUAAGGUCUGACCUGCCCAAUGAGGAUUUAAAUGGCCGCGGUAUAUUGACCGUGCAAAGGUAGCAUAAUCAUUAGUUUUUUAAUUGAAAGCUGGAAUGAAGGGUUUGAUGAGGAAAUGACUGUCUCAAUGAAAAUUACUUAGAAUUUUAUUAUUUUGUUAAAAGGCAAAAAUGUUAAUAAAAGACGAGAAGACCCUAUAGAGUUUUAUAAUUUUAUUGAAAAAAUAUAAUUAGUAUAGGA
rnacentral:rRNA from 1 species